UUCUCAUGAAAUGCGCUUCCUCUCACUGGAUUUCUGCCCUGGGGUGUGUGGGGUUCAAGGCAGAACGCUGGCUGCUUCUUGGUGACUGAGGCUUCAAUUCUGGUUUUUCAAUUCUCUGUCUCUGAGUCCACUGUAAGGUAGACCUCCUCCCGCACCCUUUUGAAAACAAGUCACUUGCAUUGCUAUUUAUAUGCUUAUGGCACCUGGCUUUCCAGGAGGCUGAAGGCAUGGUGGGGGGGGAAAGGGCGUUGGCUUUGCAGUCUCUCCCGUGGACUAGCUGGGUGACCUUGGACCUGUGACAUGCCUUCUUGAGACUGUUUCCACAUCUGUGAUGAGACAUGCCCACUGUGUAGUGUGAUACAGGGGUCACAUGAGGAGGCCGGUGUGAAACGCUGGGUGGCUUGGGGGGACGGUGGGGGAGUACAUGGUAGCUGUUCUUAAGCGACCCCGUAGCUCACCCCAGGGCCUAUGGGACCAGCGAAGAAAGCCCAGUGAGGUCAAGAAAGUGCACACCCUGAGCCUGGCGAGCCUGCUUGCUGCCUUAACAUCUGGGGAGAAAACAUUGGAAGAAAGGCAAUAUGGAUGGGGCUGGAGGGGGUUCCUGUUUCUCCAGGGAGACGGAGGACCGAGGCUAACGAGAUCAGGAGACUUCCUGAAGGACACACGUCUAGGAUGCAGCAGAGCUGGGGUGUAGAUCUGCAGCUUCUGACUCCCAAGAGCCUGUGACAUCGCAGGAAAGCAGCCUUGGGUCUUGAAUGAGUUUGGGGCCUGUCCCUGAUGGCCUGGCCUCUGCAGAGAUGUCUGGAGGUAGGAAUGGGUGAUAACACCACCCCCCGGGUACAGAGAGAUGUGAUGACCAUCUGUCGGUUUUCCCGACCCAAGGUCCACAGCCCUUCUUUUCUUUCCUUCGGGGGAUGACUUCUCCCCACCUCCUGGGAUUCACAUGGGCCCACUCGCCAUCCACUGGCUUUAGAGGCAGGCAUGUGUCCCAAGCUGGACACUGAGACUCCCUCUUGGGACUUUUGCAGCAACUCUGGGAAAAGAGGCAUUCACUUUUCAUGGGAGUUGCCACAUUGAUGGAACUCCUGCUCUCCACUUGAGGAUGGAGCCAAGUGGUAGAGAAAGUAUGCUGUCCCCAGACCUCAGCAAGCCCCUGGAUCCAGCCAUGCCUGAAGCUAACCAUACCUCUGGAUUAACCUGAUUAUAUGGGCCAAUGAAUGCAUUUCUUUUUUUCUAAAACUAUCCUGAGUUGGAUUUCUGUCAUUGAAAGAGUCCUAUUAAAGCUCUGUUUUUCUUUGGUCUCACUUAAGAAAUCCACUUUGAGGUAUCCACCCACUUUAAGUGUCUAAUUCAUAAAUUUUUUCAAAUGUGUACACCCUUGUAACUACCACCACAGUCAAGCUAUAGAACAUUUCAAGUUCCCUCAUUCCCCUUUAUGGUCAAUUCUCCUGACCCCAAGCAACCACUGACCUGCCUUUGUUGUAGAGAUUCAUUCAGUCUUCUCUCUGGUCAAGUCCCUGGAGGUCGAGGAGAGCGUUUCUCUGAUGCUCAUGUU